CUUCGCACUGAUGCCAGAUAAGGUAAUCCUCUGCUACAUAUGCAGCUGGAUCCAUGGACUGGCCCAUGUAUAUAUACUCUUUGGUUGGUAGUUUAGUGCCUGGGAGUUCGGAGGGGUCCAGUUAGUUGAUAUUGUUGCUCUUCCUAUGGGGUUCCAAACUCUUUCGGCUCCUUUAGUCCUUCCCUAUCUCUUCCUUUGGGGUCCCUGGCCCCGGUAUCGUGGUUGGCUGUUAGUGUUUGCAUCAGUCUUUUAAAGUUAAUUGUUAACACAGUCCUAAUCCUAACCACGAAGCUAUUUCCAAAUAGGAUGACUAUUUGCAAAAAGACAGUAUGUUCCGUCCAAUAAAAGGUAACUGGGUAUAACGACAACACUCCAGACCGGGUACCAUUGCCUGGAGUAGUUGUCAAAACGAACUGCAUUAACCGGAAGCCUUUGGAGCAUUCAAACUUGAGUGAAAUGUCUUCAUCAAACUCCUCCACUUAAGGCGUGGAAGAGGAAGUAGAAAGACUGUAACACACAGACGUGAAGAAUGGCUGCAAAGAAAUAUUAUUUUCCGGAAGCAGCAAGGUUGAUGCCCAUAGGAGCACACAGACACAGACGAAACACAUAGAAGACCUACCCGGAACCAAGAUGGGGUCCCAGCACCAAGAUGAGGAUUAGACGUGGAGUCCCAAUCCCAACUAUGAAACUAUUUCCAAUGGAUGACUAUUUGCAAAGGGACAUUAAGUUUCCUCCAAAUAAAGUGUCACUGCCAAGUAUACAAGGUUUCAGACCAGGUCCCAUUGCCUGGAGUAGUUGCCAAACACAAAAUGAGCUCAAUGAUUUUUGGAGUGGCCUUUUGUUUGCUUGUUUCAUUUUGUUUAGUUUUGUUUGGUUUUGGCAUGAUUUUAUUGUGUCUGGCUGGUUUUUUGCUUGUUCGUUUUGAUGUUGCCCUAUUGUAUUUUUUUUUUUGAAUGGGGUUUAUUUCCUUUUUGUUUGUGUGUUGUUUUGUUUCUGAAUGAAUGAAUGAGAAAGAUCAUAAUGUUGGGUAAAUACAAAGGUGGAGAGGAUCUGAGGGAAGUAUGCAUGAGGAAGAAUAUGAUCAGAAUACUGCAUAAAAACUUUUUAAUUAAAUAAAAUGAACACUUUUACUUAGCAUGCAUAUAACUAUAAAUUGUGUUGAAUCAAAACUGUAAGUCUUUCAACAAAACUUAAAUUUAGUAUUUUUUUAAAUUUAAUUAAUUUUUCUCUUACUUAUUCAUCUUACAUCCUGCUCAUUUUCCCUCUUCCUGUCAUUCCCCCCAACAAUCCCUCUCCCUCCCUUCUCUCAUUGUCCUCUCAUGUCCCCUCCCCAGCUCCAUAUCCAUCUCAAACAGUAAAAAUACAUAUGAACAUUAUAAAUGUACACAUCACCUGAAAUUGGAUACAUUUUCUAUGCACUAUUCAUGAGUUAUGGUAUCUAUUCAUACAAUGUAAACUAAAUAGAAAAGUAAACAGUAUGACUUACUUUUCCUCAGAACUGUGAUUAAGUGAAGGCCUAAGGUUUGGUGAUCCCACUGCAUAACCCAGACCAUAUCCCAGUACGAAUGAAGCAUCUGCAAUACCUUGAAAAUGAAAAGAAGGACUAAAGAGCUUCAAAAUUUAACGUGUUAAAAAGAGUCUAAACUAUCUGCAAUAUUUGAAAACUUUUCAUGCUAUUCUCUAUUACUUGACAAAGAGAAGAUGGGUAGGAAAAGAGGAAGAAAGGGGGAGGCGUGAAAGGGGGAGGGAAAAACUAUAAAUAAUUUCUGGAAUUGACUCUAACAAAUCCAAAUUAGUAGGGCAGGAAGCUCAUGAGAAAGUCAUGCAAGAGUUGAUGCUCUCUUACGGUUGCUGCUAGUCCUGCGACAUUGCCUCUUUGGGAACAAUCAGUCUGCCCUGUGAGGACUCUACAUUGCUUGAAUGAGACCUGUUUUUGUCAUAAAGGUCAUCUGCCUUACUCAGUGUCUACUGACUGUGAAUGUUAAUCAUAACUAAGACCACAUCAGAGAGCCAUCUAGACUACUUUCUGAUACUACAAUUGGUUCCAUAUCUUCUGACCUAACCAAGUUAUAGAUGAGGAAACAAAAAUCUUACCGAAAAUUGCUUUUACAGAGUGUUUCAAAAUUCUGAGCGGAAACCAGCAUGUGACGGCAAUGCUGUUUUCAAGUUUGUUUUAAUCUUGAAAAAGAUUCAGCCUAGAACCUAAGAUGGUCAACAAAAAACAGUGAGCGAACUUAGUAUCGCCUUCUCCUCAGUUCUCACUGGAGGCAAGAAGCUGACACCCACAAUGUCAGGAGUGUACCCUGCCAUGCAGGCGGCCAAAGACCUGGAAUAACAAGAACUGUGCUCCCCGACUUUUAUUCCACUCACGCCUGGAAAACAAGCCAGAGAUCACAUACCUGCUCCCUCUCAGCCAUGCCAACCUCGCUAUUCGACUUACCAGAGCUAUCCUACUCCUCCAACUUACCUUGAGCUAGGGUCAAUAUACAGAACGAGAUAAGAAAGAAGUUGAUGUUGUUGAAACGCUGCAAAGAAGGGACAACCAGAGACCCCAAGCCGAAUGGCCCAUCCAAGUCAGUUGGUAUUUUAUCUGAUAACUGUGACGAGGUUUCAGAGUUAGCAUUUUGGAGGCCUGUAACAUCUGACAUGGCAGCUGAAAGGCGUAUCUGAUAAGGGAAUACUCUGAUGUGUUCUUGAUCAUCGUCAGUCCACUCUUCCUUGGGAGGCUCCGCGCUGCUGUCCAUCCAAGCCUCUGCAGUGAUGUCCGCCAGAGCCUCUGCAGUGAUGUCCACUGGAGCCUGUGCAGUGAUGUCCACCGGAGCCUCUGUAGUGAUGUCCACCGGAGCCUCUGUAGUGAUGUUCACCGGAGCCUCCAAAGUAUUAUCUUUCCGGGCCUUCGCAGUACUGGCCUGCCUUUGUUCCAAGUUCCGCUCCAUGGCUUAUCCGAAGCAGGGCUGUGCAGGUGUUUCAAGGCACCUGUGUACUCCCUGGCUUCAGGUGUCUAAUGCUGUCGCUGACACUCUAACCUCUGCAGGGAACGUUACUUCUAGG